GUGGCACGGUGAGUACCCGGGAGGAUGGGGGAGGAUGAGGGUGGGUGGAGGUUGCUGACCCUCCCCACUGCAGCGCGGGCCGGGGUCCUAGGGUCCGCUCUGCCGCCUGGAGAAGGCCCUGGAGUUGGCCCUGGAGUUCUGCUGGCGUGAAAGCAGCCCAGCCCAAGACACCUCCACAUCCUCAGGCCUGAAUCACAGGCCGCCCUUUAUCCCCACGUCCAGGACCAAUUUGAAAUGUUAUAUCCCAGCCAUGAAGGUUCUUGCUCCGUUGCCCAGGCUGGAGUGCAGUGCUAGGCCAUGUCUGGUCCAACUGAUGAGACUGCAGGAGACUUGCCUGUGAAAGAUACAGGUCUAAACCUCUUUGGAAUGGGAGGGUUACAAGAAACUUCAACAACACGGACAAUGAAGUCUCGCCAGGCAGUGUCACGUGUCAGUCGUGAGGAACUGGAAGACAGAUUUUUGCGU
rnacentral:lncRNA from 10 species